rnacentral:lncRNA from 1 species
CCUCCAUUCAGUACAGGGGUCCGAUCUAUAAAAUUGGCAUAACCGAGACAGAAUCGAUUCCCGGUGGCACAAAUUUUCGAGGUGGACCUCUGCCAAUCAACAUGCUAAUUUCAUCAUCUACUUCUAAACAGAAAAUCUCGCAUGAUUGGGCUUACACCUCUCGCAUGGCAAAAGAAUUAAAUGGCCGAGCAUGAGCGUUACUUUUUCUCAGCAUGCAAAGGAAAGUUUUUGUGAUUGAUGCUAUUAUGGAAAGUAUUAACUGCCCGAUAUAAUGACAGUGAACAAAAAUCUUGGGAGAGAG